CUCUUCUGAAAGGAAAAGUAUAUAUUUUUUCCUUUAUUGCUCAUUAAUGCAGCAAUAAACUAUUCACAUUUUAUACAGUCUAUUAAGAGAGUUAAUCCUCUACCUACUCUUCCAUUUCAAAGAGUAACUGAUAAAACACUGAUCCCUCCAGUGCCACUUGAUGCAAAAGUAAGAAAGAAACAAACAUCUAUUUCAAUGGAGAUUCACCAAUAUAUUAAAUACAUGAGAUAGACCUCAAGAGACCACACUGAUAGAAAGAAACCAGAUCUUCUUACAGAUAUUCUUAAUUUCCCAAUAAUAAUUAAGUAUGCAGUCAGUAUCACCUGAAACAUACAUUAACUGCAUGCUCCCUAUAGACACCAGCCUUCACUUUUCUUUACAGGCCAGCAUCAACCUCUGUCUGAAAGCCACUCUGCUCUCUCUUUCAGUCCCAAAUUCUAAGCCAAAACUUUUCUUCAAGUCCAGGGAUACUUCAGAAUGUGGUUCAAGUCAAAGGCCCAUGGGACAAUAUAUCCUGCCACACUCAAGAGCUCUCUUCUUCUAUUGAAGCUCCCAGGAAAGCCUGACAGAACCCUGGACCUCUCCUGAAGGUCAAGACUAAAGUUCGGCUGAAGCAACACAGAGAUCCCAGGAUCUUACAUUUGAUCCUUAUGUCCCACCCACUCAGUGAAGAAAGAAAGCGGUGACCAAACCUGACACCUUGUGAUCAUUUUUAGCAGCUGGGAGUGGUCCCUACUGAUAAAUACAGUGUUGGGGCCACGCUUCACAUCAGUCAGUAAGAACAAGGCAUCUACAAAGAAUGAAGAAACCAUACGCUAGCAGUGAUUUACUUAACUGUUUCCAAAAGUAGUUAUGUUGGUGUCAAACUAUUCCUACCAAUACAGACAGACUGUGGAUGGCAACUACAGAAUGGACAUUUUGAGUUAGACGUGACGAAUCAAACGGCCACACACAAUAAAUGAGAACUGGAAAGACUCUGUUGUAAAUUAAUUGUGUUUGAAAACAUGGAUGUGAAAGAAAAAAAGAAAGGAAAUGGAAAGGUUUAUAGAAAUGCAUCACAAAAUUGUGCCUUGUUAAUUCAUUAGCAAUAUUUCAUUGCAGCUGAAUCAUCCGCUAUAAAAGUUAAAUCAGGUAGUACAAUGCUGAGUAGGUACAGAUUUGAAAAAAAAAACAAAAAAAAAAA